CCCCCCCCCCCAGUGUUUCAGAUCACAACAGAGAGGAAGUGUCUGUGAUUGGACCAUGAAAUCGGAGAGUACCAAGCCGGGACUGCCAUCGGACUGGUACUGGUUUAGUCCUGAGUGGGGUACUGGUUUAGUCCUGAGUGGGGUACUGGUUUAGUCCUGAGUGGGGUACUGGUUUAGUUCUGAGUGGGGUACUGGUUUAGUCCUGAGUGGGGUACUGGUUUAGUCCUGAGUGGGGUACUGGUUUAGUCCUG